CUCGUAGGCGGUUCGUCGCGUCCGGUGUGAAAGUCCAUCGCUUAACGGUGGAUCUGCGCCGGGUACGGGCGGGCUGGAGUGCGGUAGGGGAGACUGGAAUUCCCGGUGUAACGGUGGAAUGUGUAGAUAUCGGGAAGAACACCAAUGGCGAAGGCAGGUCUCUGGGCCGUUACUGACUCUGAGGAGCGAAAGCGUGGGGAGCGAACA
rnacentral:rRNA from 1 species